rnacentral:rRNA from 1 species
GACGAACGCUGGCUGCGCGCCUAACACAUGCAAGUCGAACGAGCGAGAGAGAGCUUGCUUUCUCGAGCGAGUGGCGAACGGGUGAGUAACGCGUGAGGAACCUGCCUCAAAGAGGGGGACAACAGUUGGAAACGACUGCUAAUACCGCAUAAGCCCACGGGUCGGCAUCGACCAGAGGGAAAAGGAGCAAUCCGCUUUGAGAUGGCCUCGCGUCCGAUUAGCUAGUUGGUGAGGUAACGGCCCACCAAGGCAACGAUCGGUAGCCGGACUGAGAGGUUGAACGGCCACAUUGGGACUGAGACACGGCCCAGACUCCUACGGGAGGCAGCAGUGGGGAAUAUUGCACAAUGGGGGAAACCCUGAUGCAGCGACGCCGCGUGGAGGAAGAAGGUCUUCGGAUUGUAAACUCCUGUUGUUGAGGAAGAUAAUGACGGUACUCAACAAGGAAGUGACGGCUAACUACGUGCCAGCAGCCGCGGUAAAACGUGGGUCACAAGCGUUGUCCGGAAUUACUGGGUGUAAAGGGAGCGCAGGCGGGAAGACAAGUUGGAAGUGAAAUCCAUGGGCUCAACCCAUGAACUGCUUUCAAAACUGUUUUUCUUGAGUAGUGCAGAGGUAGGCGGAAUUCCCGGUGUAGCGGUGGAAUGCGUAGAUAUCGGGAGGAACACCAGUGGCGAAGGCGGCCUACUGGGCACCAACUGACGCUGAGGCUCGAAAGUGUGGGUAGCAAACAGGAUUAGAUACCCUGGUAGUCCACACCGUAAACGAUGAUUACUAGGUGUUGGAGGAUUGACCCCCUCAGUGCCGCAGUUAACACAAUAAGUAAUCCACCUGGGGAGUACGACCGCAAGAUUGAAACUCAAAGGAAUUGACGGGGGCCCGCACAAGCAGUGGAGUAUGUGGUUUAAUUCGACGCAACGCGAAGAACCUUACCAAGUCUUGACAUCCCUUGACGAUGCUGGAAACAGUAUUUCUCUUCGGAGCAAGGAGACAGGUGGUGCAUGGUUGUCGUCAGCUCGUGUCGUGAGAUGUUGGGUUAAGUCCCGCAACGAGCGCAACCCUUAUGGUCAGUUACUACGCAAGAGGACUCUGGCCAGACUGCCGUUGACAAAACGGAGGAAGGUGGGGAUGACGUCAAAUCAUCAUGCCCUUUAUGACUUGGGCUACACACGUACUACAAUGGCGUUAAACAAAGAGAAGCAAGACCGCGAGGUGGAGCAAAACUCAGAAACAACGUCCCAGUUCGGACUGCAGGCUGCAACUCGCCUGCACGAAGUCGGAAUUGCUAGUAAUCGUGGAUCAGCAUGCCACGGUGAAUAAGUUCCCGGGCCUUGCACA